GGACUACUGGGGUAUCUAAUCCCGUUCGCUCCCCUGGCUUUCGCGCCUCAGCGUCAGAGAAGGCCCAGCACGCCGCUUUCGCCACCGGCGUUCCUUCCGAUAUCUACGCAUUUCACCGCUCCACCGGAAGUUCCGCGUGCCCCUACCUCCCUCGAGGCGGCCCGUAUCGGAGGCUGUUUCACGGUUGGGCCGUGAGAUUUCACCCCCGACGUUGCCGCCCGCCUACGCGCCCUUUAAGCCCAGUGAAUCCGAACAACGUUCGCACGGUUCGUCUUACCGCGGCUGCUGGCAC
rnacentral:rRNA from 1 species